rnacentral:rRNA from 1 species
AACGAACGCUGGCGGCAUGCCUAACACAUGCAAGUCGAACGAGACCUUCGGGUCUAGUGGCGCACGGGUGCGUAACGCGUGGGAACCUGCCCUUAGGUUCGGAAUAACUCCCCGAAAGGGGUGCUAAUACCGGAUAAUGUCUUCGGACCAAAGAUUUAUCGCCUUUGGAUGGGCCCGCGUUGGAUUAGCUAGUUGGUAGGGUAAAAGCCUACCAAGGCGACGAUCCAUAGCUGGUCUGAGAGGAUGAUCAGCCACACUGGGACUGAGACACGGCCCAGACUCCUACGGGAGGCAGCAGUGGGGAAUAUUGGACAAUGGGCGAAAGCCUGAUCCAGCAAUGCCGCGUGAGUGAUGAAGUCCUUAGGGUUGUAAAGCUCUUUUACCCGGGAUGAUAAUGACAGUACCGGGAGAAUAAGCACCGGCUAACUCCGUG